GUGCGUGCAAAAUGGUGCACGUGUAUAUUCUACAUGCAUAUAUGGUAUACGUAUUGGCAUUGAAAAUGAGUCAAGUGUAUCAUGUCUCGUUUGUAUUAGUUAAAUUAGUCGAAUCCAAGUCACUUGAUCUGAAGUUUGUGUUUGUACAGAUCAAACAUAAAACUAAUUAAACAAGAAAUAACAGUAUGUUAUGCAUUGUGACGUUAGAUUUAUGAUAUAAGUAAAGUCAGGGAAAGUCUACGAUUCGAAAUAAGGCGAAAUCGAGAAUAACAAAAUUGAGCAAGAGCCUUUACUUCAGAGAAUUUGGAAAUUUCUCUACUUUGAGACUAGUUCUUAAUUAUACAGGAGUGGACAAUUGAUAGGAGAUUUCUACAUGACAUAAUAAGUUGAAUACGUUCCACAGUAACAUUCAAGCAACAGUCAACUCUCACCAGCCAGUUAACAUUAACUCGAGUUAAAACACAGUUCAAAGAACAUCAAGAGUCAGAAGUCAAGUCAACAGAAUCUCCAAGUCGAAGACAGUCAAUCGACAGAAGAGCCAUCAUCACAGUCACCAACAUGAAGAAUCACAUCGUUCCUGCUGUUACUUGUUAUUUGAUCGGACCUCGUAUACAGCCAUUUAUACAACGAUACUACGCGCAUCCUGUAUCGCGAUUUCCCGCUAAUUAUUAAAGAAGAGAUUCUCUCAAUUAUGCGCCAGGACGUUGACCUGUCUAUUUGCAAAUGUCGCCGCGAUGAAAAGUAGAGUUUAUCGAACGCGGAUGGUAAGAGAUCGAUUGAACAACGUGUAUAACGUUCCGUUCACGUGCGAACGUACUAAGGUAUAGGCAAGUAUAUAAGACCAUAACCGCAUGAACACCAUAAGCACGCACUUUUAUGACUUACGGUAAAUUUAUUUCACAAUGUAUUUCCCCUCCCUGGCAUGUCUAGUGUUCAUGUCUCUUGGUUACAAUUUUGGAGGAUUUGUAGUACUGUUACGAAUGUUUCAUGGUUAUAUACUAAAGUAAGUUACGAAUUGAAUGGAUAAAUGUAUUAGGUUGUUGCAUAAUAAACAUGUCACUUUUCUAAUAAACAAAUUAUUUGUAUAUUGUUUUGCUUAAAAAACAUCGAUUUUAUCAAUUCUAAGACACCAAGAUCCAUUACUACCUUCAUUGAUUUGAUAAUAUUUUUAAAGCAAUUAUAUACAUAUUUUUUACUUUUUUCUAAGUACAAUAUACAGUUUCCAGAUCAUUUUUCCUUUUGAAUAUAUA